ensembl:snRNA U6 U6 spliceosomal RNA
GCGCUUGUUUCUAGAGCUCAUAUACUAAAUACAGAGAUUAGAAUGGCCCCUGCACAAGGAUGACAUACAAAUUCAUGAAGUGUUCUAGAUUUUU